UCUACAACUUUGUCAAUCUCACUGUGCCAAAAAGUUGAGAGGCUUACCUGGAAUUUGGGCCUGAAUUUGAGCUUUUCUUAACCAAGAUUCACUUAUAAAAUGGAUUGGUUGGUGGUGGAGAUGAACACACUGCUGCUGCCUGUACUGCGCGAGGUCGGGUUGGCUAUCUCAUCUCCCUCCGAAACGCCCAUCGCCAUGAUGACCUAUCGCCGACGCCAGAGAGGUCAAUUCCCCACCAAUCAUGGCAGUGCGGGAAAACAAGGCCCGACCCCCACUUCUGGGCCAAGCUUGAUAUCAAAUUCGUCGUUUACUCCAAUAUAUAGAUAAACAGCACGUGGGGGCAAGCCUUAUAUGGCAAGUUACGACCUACGUAGAGGAGUGCAAAUGCACCACCACAAUCUGAAUAGAUCUAAAAAUGACAAGAGAGAGGAUACUUUCACCAACACACGACUCGAAUAGCCUGGAAGAACUGCAAAGGGAGAAAAAACUCCACUCGCCUCAGUCUCAAAUUGAGACUCUCAAUUAUCAAGAUUACAUAUCCAAUACUUUGUCUCAUUCCAAUACUUUUUGUCUCAUUCUCAUAAUCUUAAAUUCCCCUAAAUCUAAAACCUGUAAAAUGAAUGCAUUUAUUAUCUAAACUUAAAUGUGACAUAGAUUUAUAUAACUAGAAAAAUAUGAUCAAAAAAUAUUUUCUAGACUUACUACUUUAAAUUAUGACACAAUGCUUCCUCCACAAAUUCCUUUACUGCUUAUCUAGAGGAAACAAAUUUCUCUCGCCACGUGCAAAGAUGUCCUACCUGCCUCGGAAUAUCUUAUCUCAAACUCGACAUUAAAUCAAACCUGCAACGUCA